rnacentral:rRNA from 1 species
GCGUUAUCCGGAUUCACUGGGUUUAAAGGGUGCGUAGGCGGGCAGGUAAGUCCGUGGUGAAAUCUCUGAGCUUAACUCAGAAACUGCCAUGGAUACUAUUUGUCUUGAAUAUUGUGGAGGUAAGCGGAAUAUGUCAUGUAGCGGUGAAAUGCUUAGAUAUGACAUGGAACGCCGAUGGCGAAGGCAGCUUACUGCACAGUUAUCGACGCUGAGGCGCGAAAGCGUG